GAUGAACGCUGGCGGCGUGCCUAAUACAUGCAAGUCGAGCGAACAGACGAGGAGCUUGCUCCUCUUACGUUAGCGGCGGACGGGUGAGUAACACGUGGAUAACCUACCUAUAAGACUGGGAUAACUUCUGGAAACCGGAGCUAAUACCGGAUAAUAUAUUUAACCGCAUGGUUCAAUAUUGAAAGACGGUUUUGCUUUCACUUAUAGAUGGAUCCGCGCCGCAUUAGCUAGUUGGUAAGGUAACGGCUUACCAAGGCAACGAUGCGUAGCCGACCUGAGAGGGUGAUCGGCCACACUGGAACUGAGACACGGUCAAGACUCCUACGGGAGGAAGAAGUAGGGAAUCUUCCGCAAUGGGCGAAAGCCUGACGGAGCAACGCCGCGUGAGGGAUGAAGGUCUUCGGAUCGUAAAACUCUGUUAUUAGGGAAGAACAAAUGUGUAAGUAACUAUGCACGUCUUGACGGUACCUAAUCAGAAAGCCACGGCUAACUACGUG
rnacentral:rRNA from 1 species